GAUGAACGCUAGCGGCAGGCCUAAUACAUGCAAGUCGGACGGGAUUCAGGAGCUUGCUUCUGAUGAGAGUGGCGCACGGGUGCGUAACACGUAUGUAACCUACCUUUAUCAGGGGGAUAGCCUCUCGAAAGAGAGAUUAAGCCCGCAUAAAAUCACAGCACAUCAUUGUGUAAUGAUCAAAUAUUUAUAGGAUAAAGAUGGGCAUGCGGAACAUUAGCUAGAUGGCGGGGUAACGGCCCACCAUGGCGACGAUGUUUAGGGGAUCUGAGAGGAUGGCCCCCCACACUGGUACUGAGACACGGACCAGACUCCUACGGGACGCAGCAGUAAGGAAUAUAGGUCAAUGGGCGGAAGCCUGAACCAGCCAUGCCGCGUGCAGAAAGACUGCCCUACGGGUUGUAAACUGCUUUUAUACGGGAAUAAACCCAGAUACGUGUAUCUGGCUGAAUGUACUGUAAGAAUAAGGAUCGGCUAACUCCGUG
rnacentral:rRNA from 1 species